CUCGACAUAUCUUCCCUCAUCGCCUCUCUGUCUUUUCGUCGCACCGCCUUCACUCCAUACUCUGCCAACUUUGCAGUAGACCUUUGUUCAGGUCAUCUCUUCUAUUUUCUUCUUACAAGUUUUUGUUGAUUUUGCCCAAAUUUUUACAACCUUUUUAUCAUGUUUUUUUUUAUUUAUAUUGUUCUUCUCCUUUGGUUCUCAUUAUAACAAUGUUUACA
rnacentral:lncRNA from 1 species